GGGGGCGCACUGGUUUCGACGGGGACGUAUGAAGCCGUAGCUGCGGGCCGAGGCGCCGCUGGCCUCGUAAAAAGCGGCAACCAAGUAAUUGGCAACGAUUACGAAUACGCUUACGCGGCUUAGUUAAAGCCACGCCAAAACCUGGGCUGACGCCUGAUACGCCUUUGUUUUGGUCAAAAAAAUCAUCAGGCUGGCGCUGAAAUGAUGUCUUCCGCUGACGGCGCGAGAACUUUAGGAGGGCUGGCAGCAGACUGCCCUGAUCAGGGGCGACCCCUGCUGUAAGAACAUUAUACCUGAUCUACGCCCGUAGACGUUGCGAGUGGAGUGUUUUCGGACGCGGGUUCGAUUCCCGCCGCCUCCACCA
rnacentral:tmRNA from 1 species